UACGAAGGGGGCUAGCGUUGUUCGGAUUUACUGGGCGUAAAGCGCACGUAGGCGGUUUGUUAAGUCAGGGGUGAAAUCCCAGAGCUCAACUCUGGAACUGCCUUUGAUACUGGGUAUCUUGAGUAUGGAAGAGGUAAGUGGAAUUGCGAGUGUAGAGGUGAAAUUCGUAGAUAUUCGCAGGAACACCAGUGGCGAAGGCGGCUUACUGGUCCAUAACUGACGCUGAGGUGCGAAAGCGUGGGGAGCAAACAGG
rnacentral:rRNA from 1 species